UUAGGGCACGACACCGGAGAGGGAGCCUGAGAAACGGCUACCACAUCCAAGGAUGGCAGCAGGCGCGCAAAUUACCCAAUCCCGACACGGGGAGGUAGUGACAAUAAAUAACAAUACGGGGUUCUUUAGGAUCUCGUAAUUGGAAUGAGUACAAUUUAAAUCUCUUAACGAGGAACAAUUGGAGGGCAAGUCUGGUGCCAGCAGCCGCGGUAAUUCCAGCUCCAAUAGCGUAUAUUAAAGUUGUUGCAGUUAAAAAGCUCGUAGUUGAAUUUCGGGGUCAGUAGGUUGGUCGUGCCACCGGUACGUACUGGUCUCACUGAUUCCUCCUUCCUGAAGAACCGUAAUGCCAUUAAUUUGGUGUUGCGGGGAAACAGGACUGUUACUUUGAAAAAAUUAGAGUGUUUAAAGCAAGCUAACGCUUGAAUACAUUAGCAUGGAAUAAUGAAAUAGGACGAUCGAUCCUAUUUUGUUGGUUUCUAGGAUUGACGUAAUGAUUAAUAGGGAUAGUUGGGGGCAUUAGUAUUCAAUUGUCAGAGGUGAAAUUCUUGGAUUUAUUGAAGACUAACUACUGCGAAAGCAUUUGCCAAGGAUGUUUUCAUUAAUCAAGAACGAAAGUUAGGGGAUCGAAGACGAUCAGAUACCGUCGUAGUCUUAACCAUAACUAUGCCGACUAGGGAUCGGAUGAUGUUAAUUUUAUAAUGACUCAUUCGGCGCCUUACG
rnacentral:rRNA from 1 species